rnacentral:rRNA from 1 species
UACGUAGGGUGCAAGCGUUAAUCGGAAUUACUGGGCGUAAAGCGUGCGCAGGCGGUGAUGUAAGACAGAUGUGAAAUCCCCGGGCUCAACCUGGGAACUGCAUUUGUGACUGCAUCGCUGGAGCGCGGCAGAGGGGGAUGGAAUUCCGCGUGUAGCAGUGAAAUGCGUAGAUAUGCGGAGGAACACCGAUGGCGAAGGCAAUCCCCUGGACCUGUACUGACGCUCAUGCACGAAAGCGUGGGGAGCAAACAGG